GACGAACGCUGGCGGCGUGCUUAACACAUGCAAGUCGAACGGAAAGGCCCUUCGGGGUACUCGAGUGGCGAACGGGUGAGUAACACGUGGGUGAUCUGCCCUGCACUUUGGGAUAAGCCUGGGAAACUGGGUCUAAUACCGGAUAGGACCACGGUCUGCAUGGAUUGUGGUGGAAAGCUUUUGCGGUGUGGGAUGGGCCCGCGGCCUAUCAGCUUGUUGGUGAGGUUACGGCUCACCAAGGCGACGACGGGUAGCCGGCCUGAGAGGGUGUCCGGCCACACUGGGACUGAGAUACGGCCCAGACUCCUACGGGAGGCAGCAGUGGGGAAUAUUGCACAAUGGGCGCAAGCCUGAUGCAGCGACGCCGCGUGAGGGAUGACGGCCUUCGGGUUGUAAACCUCUUUCGCCAGGGACGAAGCGCAAGUGACGGUACCUGGAGAAGAAGCACCGGCCAACUACGUGCCAGCAGCCGCGGUAAUACGUAGGGUGCGAGCGUUGUCCGGAAUUACUGGGCGUAAAGAGCUCGUAGGUGGUUUGUCGCGUUGUUCGUGAAAACUCACAGCUUAACUGUGGGCGUGCGGGCGAUACGGGCAGACUGGAGUACUGCAGGGGAGACUGGAAUUCCUGGUGUAGCGGUGGAAUGCGCAGAUAUCAGGAGGAACACCGGUGGCGAAGGCGGGUCUCUGGGCAGUAACUGACGCUGAGGAGCGAAAGCGUGGGGAGCGAACAGGAUUAGAUACCCUGGUAGUCCACGCCGUAAACGGUGGGUACUAGGUGUGGGUUUCCUUCCUUGGGAUCCGUGCCGUAGCUAACGCAUUAAGUACCCCGCCUGGGGAGUACGGCCGCAAGGCUAAAACUCAAAGGAAUUGACGGGGGCCCGCACAAGCGGCGGAGCAUGUGGAUUAAUUCGAUGCAACGCGAAGAACCUUACCUGGGUUUGACAUGCACAGGACGCCGGCAGAGAUGUCGGUUCCCUUGUGGCCUGUGUGCAGGUGGUGCAUGGCUGUCGUCAGCUCGUGUCGUGAGAUGUUGGGUUAAGUCCCGCAACGAGCGCAACCCUUGUCUCAUGUUGCCAGCACGUUAUGGUGGGGACUCGUGAGAGACUGCCGGGGUCAACUCGGAGGAAGGUGGGGAUGACGUCAAGUCAUCAUGCCCCUUAUGUCCAGGGCUUCACACAUGCUACAAUGGCCGGUACAAAGGGCUGCGAUGCCGUGAGGUGGAGCGAAUCCUUUCAAAGCCGGUCUCAGUUCGGAUCGGGGUCUGCAACUCGACCCCGUGAAGUCGGAGUCGCUAGUAAUCGCAGAUCAGCAACGCUGCGGUGAAUACGUUCCCGGGCCU
rnacentral:rRNA from 1 species